rnacentral:misc_RNA from 1 species
UACUAUCUGGUGCGCUC